rnacentral:pre_miRNA from 1 species
UCAGUCGUCAAGGGGGCUGUGAAAUGUUGCUCAUGCCAGUCAUAUCACAGCCACCUUUGAUGAGCUGUG